rnacentral:rRNA from 1 species
UACGUAGGGGGCGAGCGUUGUCCGGAAUUACUGGGCGUAAAGCGUGCGCAGGCGGUCUGUUAAGACCGAUGUGAAAUCCCCGGGCUUAACCUGGGAACUGCAUUGGUGACUGGCAGGCUUUGAGUGUGGCAGAGGGAGGUAGAAUUCCACGUGUAGCAGUGAAAUGCGUAGAGAUGUGGAGGAAUACCGAUGGCGAAGGCAGCCUCCUGGGCCAACACUGACGCUCAUGCACGAAAGCGUGGGGAGCAAACAGG